rnacentral:lncRNA from 1 species
CUCCUCUAUGUUUUAGUUACUACAGUGUAUGUGAAAUUGUGAGUGGUUGAGCUGCUCAUUGUCGAGUCAGACUUGUACUGUCAUAUAUAUGUUUUGAGUCAUACGUAUCUUUGUGAUUGUGGUUAAUUCUAGUAACCGUGGUGUUGCAUAUUCGUGAUUGUGGUUAAUUCUCUAAAUUUCUGUAAACAUUGAGCAGUGUAUGUGUUGUAAUGUUCAGAUCAAACUAGUUCUUGGAAUUGCUAUUUGUUCACUAUUGUACUUGUAAGGUAUAGUUCAUGUUAUGUGUGAUCAGUGCUAGCUUUGUCCCUGUGACAUCUAUGUUUGUGAUAUGAAUCAUCUAUCUCCUGUCAUAUAACUCUGUUCUUUCCAUGUAUCUUAUAAUUGCUAGUUUUGUAUACAUAAAUGUGAUCUUGUCUUGUUAAUCCCAUUUGUUUAGGAUGUUUGCCUGCAGUUUCUAUUUUCUCAAAUAAAAAAUUAAUACCAAAAAGACCGAGUAAAAUCUGAAUCUCCCUGUGCUCUUUGCAUUUUCUUUGUCGUCGACUUUGGUUAGUUUAGGUCUAUAUUUCCUCGCAAUCAUCAUCUGAAUUAUGUCACCUAGCCUUAGCCGAGCAUCGUUGCUGUCGCCUAGUCCCUGUGGAGAACACGACACUCGUAGUUUGGGCGUAAAACCCCACUGUACUCACAAUAGAUCAAUUUGGCGACGUUGCCGGGGACUAGCGUCAAGCGAUUAUGUUGGCUAUAGACUAGGCUUAUUAUAGUUCCGUGUUUAAUUCGUCGUGUAUUUCAUUAUCUGUGUUUCUUUUAUAUUUUUUCCUUGAUAUUGCUUCGGCUUAUUAGGAUACUAACCUUCUGACUAGUGUUUUACUGUUUAUGAGUGUGCGUAGGAAAUCUGAACUAACUGCAAGUUGUUCUAUAGUUACACUUGGUUAAGAUGGCAUUGCUUCGUGAUCUUUGGAUGCCCAAAAGUCAAUCUUAUAUCACAGGACUGGUUUGGCCAACUAUUGAAGUAGAGAACUACGAGCUGAAACCUAGUCUUUUUGCUUUGGUUCAAUAAUGUCAGUUUGGAGGACGGCCUACUGAGGAUCCCUAUGAGCACUUACACCGAGUCAUGGAGUAUUCAGAUACAGUCAAGUACCACAGAGUUCCUCAAGACACAAUCAUGUGCAGGUUGUUCACAUUCUCUCUCUGUGAUGAUGCUCGUGCUUGGUACCAAUCCUUGCCAUCAAGGUCAUACAAUUGGAUUGAGAUAUCACAAGCAUUCUUGGAUAAAUAUUUCCCACUACACAAGAAGUCCGCGAUUCGAGAUGAUAUCUUCAACUUUGUUCAGUGUGAAGGUGAGAGUUUGUAUGAUGCUUGGGAGAGGUACAAAGCCUUGUUCAGGAGAUGUCCUAAUCAUGGGCUCGAGAGAUGGUUAGAGCUGCAGAUAUUCUAUAGAGGAUUGACUUUGGACACUCGUGCUUACAUUGACAUGGCAGCGGGUGGAGCUAUUACAAAUAAGACACUUGAUGAUGCUUUUCUGUUGAUUGAGAGCAUAGCUUUCCACCAACUUCAGUGGUACAAUAAGAAGCCCAUGUCUGAUUCAUUAGUUUGCUUGCAACAAAUCACUAUUCCUCAGCCAUCAAUUCUUACACAGAAGCCUGAACCUCUAUCUCAGUGUGACAAGAUUGAGUUUACAUGGAUUAUCUUUGAUGAUGAUGACGCCAUUCUAGUUGACACACACGCUACAGAUCAUAUGGAUACUAGUGUUGGAGAUUCGGUUUUGCAUUGUGAUGAUUCUUCCAUGGAUGAGCCUGAGUUGCAGUUAGUUGCUUUUGAUAUUGAGGAGUCACCUUCGGUUAAUAUAGAUCAUGUGCUGCCUGAACCAGACAUGGAGAAGUUCACCUUUGAUGAUGUUAGCCACAUCGAUUCUUCAACGCUUGAGCCUGAGAUGGAAAUCUUCAUUGUUGAUUAUGAUGAGGUCACUUCAGAUGUCAAGGAGCAAAGCUCUACUAUUUCACCUGUCGAUACGAGCCAGGUGGAAGUUUCUACUACCAUGCCUUCCAUGGUAUCUUCAGUUGAGGUAGUCAUAAAACUUCUCCAAGGCCAUCUCAGGUAUUAUCUCAGCUUUCUGGAUAAGUUAUGUCAUAUCGCUGAUAUUGCCUAUGCACCAUGUGACUUGUUGUUGAUACAUGUUCCUGAUUUGCUCAAUAGAUAUACUUAUAUGAUAGGGUACUCAAUCGAUGACUUAAAGGGCAUUCUCUCUAUCACUUGUAUUGGCUUGGUUGUUGAGUGUUCUUUCAGGUUGAUGCUUGUGCACCAUUUACUGCGAGUUGACCGAGUUCGAGAUGACAUUCCCUGGGAUCCUGGUGGAUUCACGACAUGGUGAUGAGGAGAAGCAAUGGGCAUACGCGAAGAAGAGUGAAGCUGGAGCAGGCAUGGGGAUAGACAAGCAAAAAGAGAAGAGCUAAAGUUUAGAGAGUGUUGAGCGAGUGCAACUUCCUAUAUAAACCCCGUGAGCUAUUUCAUGUCCCCAAUCUGAAUAUAUCAUCCAUUGAUACAUGCUGAAAUCAAUUUCUAUUUGGGUUGCUUGAGCCAUUUCUUAAACGUUGUCCCAUUGAAUUUUACCUUUGACAUAUGGUGCUUGAUGUGAAUAUGUACACUGAUUUGUGGAUGCCUUGUAAACUAGUGAUCUACAUACUGCUUGCUUUGCUGAAAUUAGUGAAAGUUAUUAGUUUUGAGUGCUCAAAUCCCUAGUACCCUAGAAAACUUCAUCAUUUUCUGCAUUUACUUUGAUACACCUAGAUCAUCAUAUGUUAGAUGCUGAUUUUGUGCCAAGUGUGUUCCCCUUCAGAGCAAUCAUUCACCACUAUGGACUAGCAUACUAUGUUCCUUGGAUCAGUAGUAUGUGAACCAGACCUGGAUGAGUGAUGAUUCUUGUUUCCUUUUUGUAUUCAUUUGUGAAAAAGUAAUAAUGAAUAAAUAAGUCUGACUACCUAGAGUAGCAUGUCAUGUUCCCUGGAUCGGUGGCAUGUGAAAUUGGGUUAGCUUGGGCAGUAAUUACUAAUAAAAAUGUAAUUGUCGAACCAGGUGUAUACCAUGUUCUUGGGAUCGGUGGUAUGUUCCUUUGAGGAGACAAACAAAAAAACUAAUAAUUGGUUGAGCCAGGUGUAUACCAUGUUCUCGGGAUCGGUGGUAUGUUCCUUUGGUGAGACCGAUAAAAUAUUAUCAUUACUUCCUUCAAAUUCAAUAAGUGCUUCAACCAUAAUGUUAUGUUCCUAGUAUUAAGUUUCUUUUUUUGGGACCAUGCUCUCUUUAGGAACCCUUUGGUGUAAUCAGCAUUUGAACUUGUUGAUCCAAUUGUAUCUUUGUAGAAGUUUAAAAUGAUUGAGUUUACUAGUGUCCUAUUGCUCUGUAGCACUCUUAACCAUUGAUUUUCACUAGCUAAGUCCAAAGCAUGCAUUGUUUAGAGAUAUACUUCACUUGACAUUCUCUAUCAGUUCACUGUUCAUAUUCUUGCUCUUGUCAUAUGCCUUUGCUUGAGGAUAAGCAAAUAUUUAAGUGUGGGGGAACUUGAUAAGCGCAUUUCAUAUACAUUAUUUUAUGCUCAAAUAUACCAUUAAUUGAGAUAUACCCAUCCAUUCUUGCUACGAAUUGUUGAAUAUUCAAAUGAUAAUCAUAAAAGAGAAUGUUGACUAGUGAAUUGUUUAUUUUGCAAAAAAGUGCGCAAAGGCACUAUAAACUUCAAGAUUCGAUCGAUUGCCAAAUGCAAUGAGACUUGGGGGUGGAACGAGAGAACAAGGGACUUGAGCGAGAAGAAAAGAAGUGUCCAUGGUAAAGUUAAUGUUGGAGGAUCAUCUUGAGAAGAAAGAAAGGAAGCAGGAGGGCCAAGGUGAAAAAAUGGCAGAUCAUAGGAGGAGGUCAAAAUCCCUAGACGCCCUGAUUCCCAAAAUCGGGCCUAGCAUAUCUCCAUCUCUCUCCCUCGAUCCACUUCUUCUCCACCCUCCGGCCGCCGCCGCGGCUAGGCCGUCGUGGUGGCGUGCCAUCCAUCCAGCCACCACUCCAUCAUCCACUCCAUCUCCACCACCCGCCGCUGCCAGCGUCCCAGCACCACCUCGAACCACCGCGCCAUCCAUCAACAUCUCCAUCUUCCUCCGGCCACCGCUUCGGCCAGGCCGGCGUGGUGGUGCACCUCCCAUCCAUCAGCGCCGCAAGUCACCACCAUCUCCGUCCAUCUCCACCAGCGCCAUCCUCCCAGCCAGCCAGCAGCACUGUCCAUCAUUCUCUGCCGCCGCCGCGCUACUCCAUCAACCUCUGCUGCUCCCUCUCCUUGACGCCCAGCUGCCGCUCCUCCUUCCCAAACCUUGCCGCUGAUCCUUCUACUCUUCUCCAUCUCCUAUUGCUUCCCUUGCUCUGCUUCUUCCUUUGCCUCGUUCUAGCUCCACAUUCUACCAAUUCCUCUCACAUCUUUGCUGCUGCUCCUUCCUCCUUAAUUCCCUCCUUCUCUGAACCAAAACUAUUGUUCUUCUCUAAAGUAUGAACCGUCUACUGCUAUUGUUCCUGUUUCACAAACCUGAGCUUCUCUCCUUCUCUCACUCUUUGUAAUUUCUGAAAACUGUAAUGUAAACUUUGCGUAUUGUUCGGUAUAGAUGAUUCGUGCCUCCUCUAUGUUUUAGUUACUACAGUGUAUGUGAAAUUGUGAGUGGUUGAGCUGCUCAUUGUCGAGUCAGACUUGUACUGUCAUAUAUAUGUUUUGAGUCAUACGUAUCUUUGUGAUUGUGGUUAAUUCUAGUAACCGUGGUGUUGCAUAUUCGUGAUUGUGGUUAAUUCUCUAAAUUUCUGUAAACAUUGAGCAGUGUAUGUGUUGUAAUGUUCAGAUCAGACUAGUUCUUGGAAUUGCUAUUUGUUCAGUAUUGUACUUGUAAGAUAUAGUGCAUGUUAUGUGUGAUCAGUGCUAGCUUUGUCCCUGUGACAUAUAUGUUUGUGAUAUGAAUCAUCUAUCUCCUGUCAUAUAACUCUG